rnacentral:rRNA from 1 species
AACGAACGCUGGCGGCAUGCCUAACACAUGCAAGUCGAACGAAGGCUUCGGCCUUAGUGGCGCACGGGUGCGUAACGCGUGGGAAUCUGCCCUUAGGUUCGGAAUAACAGUUAGAAAUGACUGCUAAUACCGGAUGAUGACGUAAGUCCAAAGAUUUAUCGCCUGAGGAUGAGCCCGCGUAGGAUUAGCUAGUUGGUGUGGUAAAGGCGCACCAAGGCGACGAUCCUUAGCUGGUCUGAGAGGAUGAUCAGCCACACUGGGACUGAGACACGGCCCAGACUCCUACGGGAGGCAGCAGUAGGGAAUAUUGGACAAUGGGCGCAAGCCUGAUCCAGCAAUGCCGCGUGAGUGAUGAAGGCCUUAGGGUUGUAAAGCUCUUUUACCCGUGAUGAUAAUGACAGUAGCGGGAGAAUAAGCCCCGGCUAACUCCGUG